GUAAGGGCAGGAGAGGACACAGUCCCUGCUUUGCACCCCAGGGAGCCCAGGCUCCCCUCUGGGCACAGCAUGGCAGAAGGGAAUAAGCAAACAAGCAGACAUCACCGUGACUUAGGAAGAGGUCACGCAGAAGGAUCUUUGCUGGCAGACGAGACAGUGUGCUAAAGAUAACUGCUUGACAAACUAUAUUUACUCUCCCUUUCUGGGAGGACUUACAAGGGAUUUGGAGCAUUGUGCUAAUAGGAGUCAUUCAGUGCUGAGGUGGAGGAGGUGCCUCCUCCAGGCUCCUUCAUGUUUGUGUCUCUGCAAGCCAUAGCAAAGAGCAUCACAGAAAUCAGCCUCAUCUCCUUCUGGGAACACCCUCCAGCAACUGGGCGCUGACAUGCAGUGAUCAAAUGCAGCCUGGUAUCUAUGCUCUUGGGGCGUGCUAGGAAACCUCUGCAACCAACAGAGGGGCAAGAGGACAGGGAGAACCCUCCCCGACUGUUGUGACUUUUCAAUUGAUGCAAGCAAUUCCCUUUCCACCGCAAGGGAAAGAGGCACUUGAGAUUCUGUGUAUGCAGUAACCAUGACGAGUAUAGAAGUACAGAAACAGCUCUAGGCAGCACAUUAGCCAUCUGCACCGUCUCUAGCUCCUAAAUGUAAACACAAACACGGGCCCUAGAAAGGACUGCGCUCAUAAGCCAGAGGAAGCAUGGUUUCUGAAUCAAGGAAAAUGGGCUCCGGUUCAAGUUUGCAGAGGUACAGGAUGGGACCCAAGGGCCGAACAGCCAUCUAUUUUGCAUGGCAGCUGUUGCUUUCAAGCCAAAUUAAUCAAACUUCCCUCUUUGAUACCUUGUCCCCAGACUAUUUCACAAAGAAACCACAGCACUUCUCUGUAGUACUGCAAAAAUCCUGGAGCACUUGAAAUUUCCUGAGCGACCUGCAGCAGAAUUCACACUGCCGCUCCCUGUGCUGUUGAAAGCUGGCUCACACCAGGGCUCUUCAGAGCACGAAACCCACAGCAAUGCACGGUGCCAGCUGCAGCCUCCCUCUGCACCCACAAGCAGCUUUUCUGCACAGGGCAAUUACAAAACACACAAGCCACGGUGCAUGUUUGCAGGCCAGGAGGACAGGAGCUGCCUUGUUGGGACAGGGUGCACUGGCAGCAUGCUGCUCCAUCCUCAGACUGUGGUCCCUCUUCCCAACAGCCACCAGCAGCGCAUUGCGAGGGAACCCCAGCAGUGCUGUGAGCUCCCUUUGUUUUACAGAUGGUGGCAGAGCUCCUGGAAAUUAAACUAUUCUUCAUGUGUAA